GCUGCCACACUGUUCCCUCUUUCUGGGGCACCCUUCUACCCCCUCACUCCUGGUCCAAGAUCAGGAUGUGUUGUCUAGACAGCCCUCUCCUCUGAGAAGCCUCCCUCAAACCACAGAGCCUAUACUGGCCAUGACUUAGUUUACCAACCAAUUGCUGAGCCCCCGGGGACAGUUGGGCUGCAUCUGGAUCACCCAGAACCCUCACCAGACACUCCCCACACCCACCAUGUAAACAGGAACGACUGAGGCCUGGACCAACCCACAGAACUCCCAGCAUCCCUAGGCUGGUUCCCAUAGCAACAGGGAAGGAGUUCUGAUAAGAGGGGAAAGUGUAGCAUCUUGGCCUCCACCUCCAAGUCCACCCAGGUUAUUUAUAACCACGCUGAGCACAUGGCCACUUCCUUGUGUCUGCGUAUUCAACAUCGCCAGCCGUCAUUUCAGAGACAGCCCUCGGUGAUGGCCGACCAUAAGAGUGUAUGCUACAAAUCCUCUCUCCCCGAAGCUGCUUCUGGCUACAGCACCUUAGCCCAGGGAUAGACGUGAAACCAGGAUUCCCAGAGGAGGUGUCUGAGACCAGCAGGUGCUCACUGAACAACAUCUCUUCCAGGAAGAAGAGAAUGAAGACUGCUUCUAGGAGGCGACAUCUCCAUCAGAGCACAUAAGGUCAGGAGGGGACAUCUCUGUUAGAGCAUAUUAGCAUGUCAGGCAACAGUGGCAGUUACAUGGUGCUCACAGAGCCAUUGGCUGCAGAAAGGCAACCUCCAGCACACAGGGCAGCUGCGCCCCAGCCAGGAUCUCCACAGAAAACAUGAGGUUCUCCC
rnacentral:lncRNA from 1 species